rnacentral:lncRNA from 1 species
AGAAAAUUGGCGCGUUAAAAAUGCAAAAAGGCUGCGAGGCAAGCUGUGCCUCUUGUCGGAUGAAUUUAUCCCGGAUUUGGGAGAAAUUCUUUUGGCUGUGGGUCGCUUCAGGUGCGCCGGAAUGCUUAGAAUCUCGGUAAUCACGAAAUUUUCAUAAGCAGCGGAGUGCUGGUACCGCGUAUCUGACUAACGCGUAGGUGUAUACAUAUCCCAAGUGUGGUAUGUAGAUGUGAAGUAAUCGUUAUUUCUGCGGUAUUAUUUAUUACAAACUAGGUGACCCGGCGAACUUCGCACCGCCUAACAGUCAAUGAAUGUCGUGUUACUUUUUAGCUGAACUAAUUUAGGCUCUGAUGAACGUAAAACAAUGAUACAAAAUAAUAUGUUUAUAUAGAUAGAAACAAAAAAGUACCAACUUGAUAGCGCGUGAUUUCAUCGUUGGUAUUGGAUGUUUGGAUACCAAAAACCGCCAUGUCGCUCCCUUUCGUGACAUAUUUGCAAAUGUAUUUAAUUGACUUGACCGAAUUGCAAUACUCAACAUUACAAUGUGCUUUGAAUGUUUUGGAAAGAAGUGGCGAAUAUGGAACAAUCCAACUGUUGUCAACUACGAUAUCGUUUCCUUUCACUUUAGUUGUGACAGUUCUUCCAUCGACGACGAUACAAUGGAUAACCAUCGUUGCCUGUAAUGGUCUCUGCCGUCAAUUUUCGUGGAAACCGUUUGGAACACUUUCCGCACUAGUGCCACACGGUCCAUGAAUCAUAUUCGUGACUACAACAUCAUGUAGGUCUGGAUCGAUUUCAGAAGCAGAAAUCUCCGCAUUUUUUGCGAAUUUUUUGCCGGAAAACACGUGCGGUGAUGUCGUGUCGAUCACUUGAUGUUUGUCCGGAACUAAACGAUGCAAGCUGUAGUCGAUGGUGCAAUCAUACAGAAACGCUGCUCGAUUCAAACCAUUUCUUCUUGCACUUCGAAGAUUAUUCAUCUGUUCUUCUGUACGAAAAGUUCGACGAUUGCUCUCUCUUUGCUCUUGUGUUUGAGAAGCACGAAUUAAGGCCCUUCUUUGCUCCAUAUUAACGCGGCGCUGUUCUCGUGCAAUUUCAGAUAAUUGACUCGCUAUAUUCCGUUGCAUAAUUGCAUUACGGCUUCGCUGGGAAAGAUUGGAUCUUCUAGGACGCGGCAUUGUUAUUAAAAUGAUGAAUACAAAAUUAAACAAAUAAAUAAAACAAAUAUUAAAUAUGAUUAAACAAAUAAAAAUGAACCACAAAUGAACUUUUUAGACAAAUUUCUGAACACACACAUGAUGUCUUCAGAAAAAAAUAAAGUUUUGGCUUUAAGGCCGCAACAAGCAGGCCAUAAGUUGUUUUUAAUAUGUAUUCUGCUACUCGCGACGGAAACAAAUCCAACAAAUCAAAAACCAUGGCAAUCGGUCGAGCCGUUCUCGAGUUAUAAGUGCUUUACAAAAUACGACUUUCUUUUAUAUGUAUAGAUAUUCAGUGACAAUAAGAAUGUAAGAAUAUACAAUUCUAUGGAAG